UAGAGUACCAUUAUGAACGGCGAUGCCUG
rnacentral:piRNA from 1 species